rnacentral:rRNA from 1 species
UACGUAGGGUGCAAGCGUUGUCCGGAAUUAUUGGGCGUAAAGAGCUUGUAGGCGGUUUGUCGCGUCUGCUGUGAAAUUUCGGGGCUCAACCCCGAACUUGCAGUGGGUACGGGCAGACUAGAGUGUGGACGGGGAGACUGGAAUUCCUGGUGUAGCGGUGAAAUGCGCAGAUAUCAGGAGGAACACCAGUGGCGAAGGCGGCUCACUGGCCCGGUACUGACGCUCAGGUGCGAAAGCGUGGGGAGCAACAGG